GAAACCUUGCUCUCAGGAAAUUUCCUCUCGGGACACUCCCUCUUGGAAGUCAGCACCAUGCUUUGAGGAAGUCCAAGUGGCCCCAUGGAGAGGCUUAUAUGGAGGUUAAUUGCGGCCCACUGCUGACAGUCCAGGUUAAGCUCCCAGCCAACAGCCAAUGCCAACUUGCCAGUAAUGUCAUUGACUCAUCCUCCAUGACUCCUAGUUCCAGAAUUUUACAGUGUCACAGAACGGCCAGGUCCAUAGCAUGGUGGCUGCCCAGAUGAGCAUCUGUUUGUGGUUAGAAGGAUCUGGAUUUUGAGCGUUCUGAAGGCAGGAUGUGUUUCUCAGCCACCACUGGGCCUUGAGGACCUAGACCAUUUCCUAGUGUACAGUACGGCUGUAUACUCCAACUCCUCCACACCAUUGGAACCUACGUUUUCAAUCAUCUAUGUCAUACUGCUCAGCCGCAACAAAGCAUCUAGAAUGUCCUCAAGUUGGGCCAGAUCUAUUUUCAUUCACCUCUAAAUGACCAUUACACUAUUUUCGCAAAACCA